rnacentral:rRNA from 1 species
UGGGGAAUAUUGGACAAUGGGCGAAAGCCUGACGCAGCCAUGCCGCGUGAAUGAUGAAGGUCUUAGGAUUGUAAAAUUCUUUCACCGGGGACGAUAAUGACGGUACCCGGAGAAGAAGCCCCGGCUAACUUCGUACCAGCAGCCGCGGUAAUACGAAGGGGGCUAGCGUUGCUCGGAAUUACUGGGCGUAAAGGGAGCGUAGGCGGAUAGUUUAGUCAGAGGUGAAAGCCCAGGGCUCAACCUUGGAAUUGCCCUUGAUACUGGCUAUCUUGAGUACGGAAGAGGUAUGUGGAACUCCGAGUGUAGAGGUGAAAUUCGUAGAUAUUCGGAAGAACACCAGUGGCGAAGGCGACAUACUGGUCCGUUACUGACGCUGAGGCUCGAAAGCGUGGGGAGCAAACAGGAUUAGAUACCCGCGUAGUCCCUGAGCGGGCUGGCAAGGCGCAU